GUGAAAUAUAGGAGGGAACUACUCUUGGAGGUGAACUACUGCGCUAGUUCCAUGACAAAUGAAGGAAGACCAGCGUUUUCAUAGAGGAUGAGUUUGCCAUCUGAAAAAGCACGUACUUUUUUAAGGGAAUUUCUACUACCCAAUAUCAAAGACAAAAUGAAAGUUUCUCUUUUGCACUCUGGGGACACAGUGGUCCAGCUCACAGUCUUUCUCCUUGAUACAGGGAGCAAAAUGCAAUAAAGGAGGGUUGAUCACUGAGGAAGUGUUUCAAACUGUGCUGUUGUCCCCGCUGUAUCAAAGAUUCAGUGGGCACACCCCCAGCACUGUUCUUCAUGUCCAAAAAGAGGUGGGUCUGCAGCUUUCAUUUG
rnacentral:lncRNA from 1 species